AGUAAAGUGUCUGAAAAAGAGCAAUCUUGAUAGGAUUGAGCAUGCAGAACCAACUGCCUUUACUA
rnacentral:tRNA from 1 species